UCAGAAGCCUGGCGGAGGAGAGACUGUGAUCAGAAAGGCGGUUAUCCCAGGACGAGGCUAUCCCAUUGCACUUCGCGUGUACAGACGCCAGCGAUGUGCCCAAAUGCAGGAUACUCAACUGCAAAAUUUGUGGUUGUAGGGGAUUGCGUUCGCGGUCA